rnacentral:rRNA from 1 species
AAGAAGGUCUUCGGCUUGUAAACUCCUCUGGUAGGGGAAGAUAAUGACGGUACCCAACAAGGAAGUGACGGCUAACUACGUGCCAGCAGCCGCGGUAAAACGUAGGUCACAAGCGUUGUUCGGAAUUACUGGGUGUAAAGGGAGCGCAGGCGGGAAGACAAGUUGGAAGUGAAAUCUAUGGGCUCAACCCAUAAACUGCUUUCAAAACUGUUUUUCUUGAGUAGUGCAGAGGUAGGCGGAAUUCCCGGUGUAGCGGUGGAAUGCGUAGAUAUCGGGAGGAACACCAGUGGCGAAGGCGGCCUACUGGGCACCAACUGACGCUGAGGCUCGAAAGUGUGGGUAGCAAACAGGAUUAGAUACCCUGGUAGUCCACACUGUAAACGAUGAUUACUAGGUGUUGGGGGAUUGACCCCCUCAGUGCCGCAGUUAACACAAUAAGUAAUCCACCUGGGGAGUACGACCGCAAGGUUGAAACUCAAAGGAAUUGACGGGGGCCCGCACAAG